rnacentral:rRNA from 1 species
GUAGGGAAUCUUCGGCAAUGGACGAAAGUCUGACCGAGCAACGCCGCGUGAGUGAAGAAGGUUUUCGGAUCGUAAAACUCUGUUGGUAGAGAAGAACGUUGGUGAGAGUGGAAAGCUCAUCAAGUGACGGUAACUACCCAGAAAGGGACGGCUAACUACGUGCCAGCAGCCGCGGUAAUACGUAGGUCCCGAGCGUUGUCCGGAUUUAUUGGGCGUAAAGCGAGCGCAGGUGGUUUAUUAAGUCUGGUGUAAAAGGCAGUGGCUCAACCAUUGUAUGCAUUGGAAACUGGUAGACUUGAGUGCAGGAGAGGAGAGUGGAAUUCCAUGUGUAGCGGUGAAAUGCGUAGAUAUAUGGAGGAACACCGGUGGCGAAAGCGGCUCUCUGGCCUGUAACUGACACUGAGGCUCGAAAGCGUGGGGAGCAAACAGGAUUAGAUACCCGGGUAGUCC